rnacentral:tRNA from 1 species
CCUGGUGGCUCAAUGGUAAAGAAUCUGCCUGCAAUGCAGGAGACGCAGGUUCAAUUCCUGGGUCAGGA